AAAUUUAUCUGUCAGGGGAGAUACCAUGAUCACAAUAGUGGUUUUUCUAGGGCAAGGCUUAUCCAUUGCGUUCCAGAUGGGCUUACCCCUGUGCUUUCCCCAAAUGUGGAAAACUUGACUGCAUAAUUUGUGGGGGACUGGAUUUAUGUUCUGCUCUGAU
rnacentral:snRNA from 1 species